rnacentral:rRNA from 1 species
UGAGGAAUAUUGGUCAAUGGACGCAAGUCUGAACCAGCCAUGCCGCGUGCAGGAAGACGGUCCUAUGGAUUGUAAACUGCUUUUGUACGGGAAGAAACACUCCUACGUGUAGGAGCCUGACGGUACCGUAAGAAUAAGGAUCGGCUAACUCCGUGCCAGCAGCCGCGGUAAUACGGAGGAUCCAAGCGUUAUCCGGAAUCAUUGGGUUUAAAGGGUCCGUAGGCGGUUUAAUAAGUCAGUGGUGAAAUCUGGUCGCUCAACGAUCAAACUGCCAUUGAUACUGUUAGACUUGAAUUACUGUGAAGUAACUAGAAUAUGUAGUGUAGCGGUGAAAUGCUUAGAUAUUACAUGGAAUACCAAUUGCGAAGGCAGGUUACUAACAGUUGAUUGACGCUGAUGG